rnacentral:lncRNA from 1 species
AAAAAAAACAAACAAGCACAGGUUUUUAUUCAAGCAGAGAAUUAUUGACAGGAGGGGAAAGAUACAAACUUAGCAUCACAGAUUUCAUUAAAACAAGGACCAUCGUUUAUUUCAUCAGGAAACCACCAGCACAAACAAGGAAACUGAGACAUCACAAGAUAGCUAGAAAUCCACAACAGGUGACCAGUGAAGAUAGAUUGAAGGGAAAAGACAACAACACAACAGGCUGGGAGAUGAGAUGGUGAACUUCUCUCUGAUAAUAUUAUCCCACCAUUAAUCCAAGUGCUCUCACCAAACUCAGCUGCAUUUUGAUCAUCAUCAUCAUAUGGUUUCCAGCGCUUGAAGCACAUCAGCCUUUAUAUCGUUGAAGUCCUCAACUCCAAUGCUGAACCUCACCAAGUUGUCUCUUAUCCCAUACUUCUCCCUCUCUGCCGGCGAAAGAUCCCUGCACCAUUUCCAUCCCCCAUUGUUAAUCCUUCGAUGAAGUGAACAACUUCCCUUCACAGCACAACACAAACAUCCACGAAAGGACCACUAUAUUUAC